rnacentral:tRNA from 1 species
AGGGGCAUAGGUCAGUGGCAGAGCACAUGCUUAGCAUGCACGAGGCCCUGAGUUCAAUCCCCAGUACCUCCA